UGCCCGUGUCUAUUCCUGAACAUUGAAGAGUCCUGGGCCAAAAGCAAGGAGUGAUGUGGUCCUGGGCCUACCCCUUAUUCUUGAAUGUGGGGCAAUGGGCUAUGUGCAGACAGCCUGGUUUCCAGUUGAGGCUAGAUCCCACUUACAUGGGAUGGAAGGAGUUCUCUCAUGUCUCCUGGACCCUGGUUCAUCUUAGAGUUUCUGCCUCCACAACCACCACAGGAGAGGUGUGGCUAUCAGCCACUUAGAAAGAGCACCAAGCUCUCUCACAUGCAAAUAAGGGUUCCUCCAAACUCUCAGACCAAGCCAAUGAGAGGGGCUUGCUGUCAAACUUUAAAUCACUGCCAGAAGUGUAUAUAGGAGAGCCAUGCAGGGAAUUAAAGGAAUUCGAGAACUAUUCCUUUGUCUGACCCUUUUGUUCUAAGAGCUGUAACACUUGGGAAGAGAUCUUCUCUCCCAAAGAGCCUUGCCCAAGUCCGAGUUCUGCUGCAUUCCUCACUGGAUUGUAGGCUUUUCACAGACCCAGGCUCGGAGUUACUGAGCGACCCAGAAGGCAUGGCAGAGGCUUCAUCUGUCUCCCUGCCUCCACUCACUUCCCUUGCUGUGGCCUUCCCACCUGGCCUGGAAAGGGGUCUCUGUGGAAAACUUCUGGUACUUAGGCCCACAUCUGGAGACCAAAUUGGGGCAAGAGUGAACAAAACGAACACACAGAACUAAUACUCCAGGAAGGUAAGCCCUCUAUCCCCCACCUCUGGAAACAAUCUGUGUUUUCCUACUGUGAAUUCAGUCAGCGCCAGCACAUGGAGUUAGACAAGCUAAAGAGACAACUGAAGCCUUCUGGCCAGAGCUACUCUCUGGUGUUGGCCGAAGGUUCCUCUGGCCUCUGUCUCAAUCCCUACAGCCCGCAAUGGGCGUUGGUAAAGACUAUCUAACUUCUCCUUAAAACAAAGAAAACCUGGUAACACAGCAGCCACUUAAGAGCCACAGGGCGGCUGCCAGUUCUUAAAUCUGAAGAAAGGCUUAGCAUUUGGACCUUUGUGGAGUCCCCGAAGCCAAAUAGGCCAAGGGAACAUUCCCAUUGGACAAGUGUUUUUCAUCUUUUCUAUCAUGGGCAACUCACCAUCAUAUAAAACACCCACUAAAACACCGAGGGAUAAAGAUAGCCAAAAAAAACCCAAGCCUCCUUAUUUUGGGAGGAAGUCCUCCAGAUAGCGCCACGUAUGGCCAAUGAUGAUACUUAUAGCCCAGACUCAUGGAUCAGAGUCGCUUCUCUUAUCAAAAACAAAGAUACCUGAGAGGGUAAAACACCCUCCUGUGAUUUUUUGCCAAUCUUAGCCGCAAUUAGGCAGUGCAUAGAGCCAUCUAAAAUAGGACAAACUGAUAGCAACUCAGCUGCUGAGCACCCUCAGUCAGAUGAACCCAAAGGUCAAGGUCCUAAAAACCACUCCAUUUCAUAUCUCACAGCCCUUAACCAAUUAAUAAGAGACAAAAUCCAUCUACCCACUCCUGCCUCCCUAUGCUUCAGAGGAAAAACUAAUUAAACUGCCCACUCCUCUGGCCCCUCCCUCUCCCACUCCCACUCAAAGGUAAAGCUUCAUUAUAUCAUCUUCACCUCCCCCCCGGAGAGAGGCAUCUCUCCUCACCCUUCUCCAAGCUGUAAAAGUGAAGCCCUGCCUAACUCCAUGGUCUCAACUUCUAGGGGUGCUGGAAUGGCUCCACGCCCCAAUGGAUGGCGCACCCCAAAUUCUAAAUGAGGUAGAUACGCUUGCCAGCAUGAUUAAAAAUGGCAGGGAUAGAGCCUUGCAAACCCUAGGGAAAGAACCUAACAUUUUUGUCAUCCUAUCCUCCAAAUUCAAAGAGCUGCCCAGUCACUCCCCCCAAUAUAAAGAAUUAUAUGCCAUCUAUCUAGCUCUAAAAGAAGUCAAGGGCCCCCCUUAACCUUUUUUCAGACAGUGUAUAUGCUGUUAACUUGCUCCCCUGGUUGUCAAGAUCCUUCAUCAAACUAGAUGCCAACCCACUUUCCCCUCUACUCUUACAGGUCUCCACCCUCCUACAGGAAAGAGAUGCCCCCAUCUACAUCCAGCAUGUCUGAUCUCAUAGUCACCUGCCAGGUCCUAUAUCUGAGGGAAAUACACUCACUGACCAAACUUCCUCGACAGGGAUAUUCAUGGCCUCCACUGAACAAGCAGAUCAAUUUCAUUCACGCAUACAGACAAAUAUAAAGGGACUUCAGGUCUGCUUCUCCCACAUCCCUCUUGCUCAACUCCAGAGGAUAAUAAAGACAUCCUCCUCUUGUGCAUCCCUCAUUACCACCCCAACUUUACAAAUGAUGGGCACCAACCCCCGAGGCCUUAAGUCCAGUGCCUUAUAGCAAAUUAAUGUCACACAUAUCCCCCA
rnacentral:lncRNA from 1 species